UACGAAGGGGGCUAGCGUUGCUCGGAAUCACUGGGCGUAAAGGGUGCGUAGGCGGGCCUUUAAGUCAGGGGUGAAAUCCUGGAGCUCAACUCCAGAACUGCCUUUGAUACUGAAGAUCUCGAGUCCGGGAGAGGUGAGUGGAACUGCGAGUGUAGAGGUGAAAUUCGUAGAUAUUCGCAAGAACACCAGUGGCGAAGGCGGCUCACUGGCCCGGUACUGACGCUGAGGCACGAAAGCGUGGGGAGCAAACAGG
rnacentral:rRNA from 1 species